GGCCACUACAAGUUCGGGACUCCAAGCCCCAUGGGUCCUUGUGCGGGCGGCGGACCGCCUUUCCCGCUGCUUGCAUUGAUUGGUCAUAGCGCCUGUUAAUAUUCUGAAUUAUGUCCGUGAUUAGCUAGGCUGAGCAAGGUGGGUCCGCCCCUCCAAUUGGAGGCGUGCGUCUUCGUGGACACGAAGUAGGCCGGGGGGGCGGGGCCUGCGCGGAGGGAUCUCGGCGGCGGAGGCGACGGAGUGCCGCCUGUCGCCGCCAUCUUGAGCUGGGAGAGGCCGCGGAGGGACUCGCUGCUCUCAGUGGCAGCCCAGGGAAAACGAGUCCGGUAUCGCGUUGGGGAGGCUGUAACAUCUUCCCGGUUUAGAGAACUUUGUUUCACAAACUAAACAGUGGGGCCGUUGUCACUGGGGCCCCUCAUCCGUCGGUCCGGAAGCUUCGAGCAGCCCGGGAGAUCCGAUCGACUUCGUGUUGUGGCGUCAAGGGGGGACCCGCGGCGACAGUCAGCUCGGCCUUGUCACCGCUGUGCUGGCUUCGCCGUGAGGGAAGCUUGCUGUGAAGCGAGCGCAUUGAGUUGCAGAGUAAACCAUUUUGUUCCUCCUGUUUGAAAUCUAGCCUAGAGAGGCCUGUGGCUCAGGGAUGUCUUCAGAAAUAGUUUUGUCGCCACCGUGUCCGUUAAAGCUAUGUCCAAGGAGGCCCUCAAGGAGGACGGCAUCCUGGGGAUGUAGGUCUGCCCGGCGUCUCAAAGUCCUGGGUCGGAUCCCAGGACCGGAAAAAGGAGUAAGGAAAAAAAAGAAGGACAGUGCCUGGGCAGGGAGCUUCGCUGGGUAUCUUGCGAUGAACCUGUUACCAGCCACAAAUGUUAAAUCAUUCCUAAGCCUUUGGCCCUAAGAGCAAGAACCUUGAGUCUCUGCAAUUGAUGUGCUUCCCUUCCUGUUAAUAAAGUCGUUUUUGGCUGGGGA